rnacentral:sRNA from 1 species
AGCACCCGGUAUUCCCAGGUGGACUCCCAUCCAAGUACUAACCAGGCCCGACACUACUUAGCU